UACGAAGGGGGCUAGCGUUGUUCGGAUUUACUGGGCGUAAAGCGCACGUAGGCGGAUCGUUAAGUCGGGGGUGAAAUCCUGGAGCUCAACUCCAGAACUGCCUUCGAUACUGGCGAUCUUGAGUCCGGAAGAGGUGAGUGGAACUCCUAGUGUAGAGGUGGAAUUCGUAGAUAUUAGGAAGAACACCAGUGGCGAAGGCAGCCCCCUGGGAUAACACUGACGCUCAUGCACGAAAGCGUGGGGAGCAAACAGG
rnacentral:rRNA from 1 species